AAGACAAGAUGUAUUUGGGGAUUUGAUAUUGUCAGGUCUCCAUAUGUAAGCCUGGAGACUGAAAGUCUGAAGACCUGCUUGCCUUGGCUAAUGUCUCCCACCCCCUGCCUGCGUUCACCAUUGUCCCUGAUCACCCAGCAGAGCUUCCCCAGACAAGCCUCUCACCCAACCCUGCCAUCUUAACUGUUCUUAUGAUGAUGUAAAUACCUCUCACCCAAACCUGCCAUUG